rnacentral:rRNA from 1 species
GACGUAGGGGGCCAGCGUUGUUCGGAAUUACUGGGUGUAAAGGGUUCGUAGGCGGUGCGGCAAGUUGGGAGUGAAAUCUCUGGGCUUAACCCAGAGGCUGCUUCCGAAACUGCUGUGCUUGAGUGUGGGAGAGGCGCGUGGAAUUGCAGGUGUAGCGGUGAAAUGCGUAGAUAUCUGCAGGAACACCCGUGGCGAAGGCGGCUCUCUGGGACGGUACUGACGCUGAGACGCGAAAGCGUGGGGGAGCGAACAGG